AUUGAACGCCGGCGGCGUGCCUAACACAUGCAAGUCGAGCGGUAACAGGUGUAGCAAUACAUGCUGACGAGCGGCGAACGGGUGAGUAAUGCUUCGGAAUCUGCCCAUGUAGUGGGGAAUAACCAGCCGAAAGGUUGGCUAAUACCGCAUACGACCCUUGCCCACAAGGCAAAGGUGAAGCAGGGGAUCGCAAGACCUUGCGCUAUUGGAUGAGCCGAAGCGGAUUAGCUAGUUGGUAGGGUAACGGCCUACCAAGGCGACGAUCCGUAGCUGGUCUGAGAGGACGACCAGCCACACUGGGAC
rnacentral:rRNA from 1 species